rnacentral:lncRNA from 1 species
GUCCACGCGUCACGGCCGGCGCGCGGCGUCUCCUGAGCUCAUCGCCAACCUUUACGUGCGAUGUCUUGAUUUUAUUAGUCCAAAAUCAUUCUACAUCUUCCAGAAACAGGGGAGAUGUCACUAUGCUUUCCUGGGUGCUGUGUACCUCCUUCCAUCUAAGCAGCAAAAAGGACAUCCUUGGCUGAUGCAGUGCAGUACUUCCUGGUGAAAAGACCGCCUGGCACCAGCGUGGAAUCCUUCAUCAGAGAGCAACGCAAGGAUGGAAAACUCAAAAGGAGCCAACCGUACCUGCUGGGAACGGGAAGUCAUCGUCUACCAACCCAGUUCUUUGUCAUCAUUGACGAGGAGGCAAUCCCCUGCUGUGGAGACAUCACCUCAGCUGUGGACGUACUGUACAAGCUGCACUUUGUCUUCAAUAUCGAAUACGCCACCGAAUUGAAGGCAUUCUAUGCAUUUCUUGACCUCUUUGUAUACGAGGUUGGUUUGCCAAAAAUUGUUAUCUCAGCUUGUGCCAAAGAGCUAAUGGCAAGCAUCAAGGCUCUUUCCAACAAAUAGCUGCCAAUCAAUUGACGAGGUAUACAGUGCAUAUCCAAAAAAAGUUUACCCAACCUUGGUAGCUUCAUAUAAAAAAGUUACAAUCUUUGUGGUCAUUAAAGGAGAAUUAACCUCAAAAAACAUUUAUCUUUGACCAGAUAGACAAUUCUGAGCCCUUUCUGGAAAGCCUAGGACAUUGAAUGUUUUAUAAGAGCAUUACGUGAGCUAUGAUGGUACAUGUAAUGCACAAAGGGAAACAUUUGUUUAUUUUUUUCACAGGCACACACAAAGACUCCGAAAUUCUGCAAUGAGUUGGACCUAGACAGGUUUAGACUUCUAAUUCUCUGUUCACGAAUUUGGCGUCAUUUGUAUGGUAGAUUAUCAGUAGGGGUGCACGCUCAACUUGGGAGAAUCUCUCCUAAAUUGGAGGUCAAAAUUUGGUUCUAAACAAGAGAUUCUCUCCCAAAUUGGAGAGCACUUUUUCAUAAAGCAUUGUGUCGGUCUAGGGUUACAUUUGCCGGUGAUGAAAAUGUGUUCAUUGGAUUCUUCGACUCAAAUUAUCUUGUCUCACUGUCUACUUCAAAAUGUCACCGUCUACUACUUGAGUAAUUUAAGAUUUGCUAUGUUAAUCCCCAGAGUCCGUGCAUAGACUUACAUGUUAAAGGGGGCAAUUAAUUUUGUGAAGGAUAUUUUCAUCAUCAUUUUUGUUAAUUAGCUGCAUGAUAAUGAAGUUUUUAUUUACAAUUAUUCAUCAAAUUGUAAUCAUUAAUUAAUAAAUCAAUCAUCAGUACAAAAAAUAGCCAAAUCAUCAAUGAAUUUAUGAAUUAAUGAGAAUUAUGAUUUAUCUACUAAACAUAUGAAAAAUUCAGUUUCUGAGUCAUUUGUAAGUUUUCACUAGUCUAAUCUGAAGAUUAUCAUCUUAGAUAAUAUGUUUGUCAAUUUCUAAAUGUUGUGGAAACCUAAAGUAGACUACAUCUCUUAAUAAAUGAGAUUGUUCUAAAAUGUCAGCUGUAAAUUUAUCUAUCUGCAUCCUGAUAUGACAACAUUAUUGUAAUUCUGUUACAAAACUUACAAUGUAAAUUUGAUAUUUGCAGUUAAAAUAUUGCACCACAAUUCAUUUGUUCAUUUAUGAAAGAAAAAUAAAUAAUUUCAGAACUUUUGAAUAUGCUCAUUGUAAAGCAAUUGCUAAUAUAACUAUAUCAAACUUUGGUUUCAAACAAGAGAUUCUCUCCCAAAUGGGAGAGCACUUUUUCAUAAAGCAUUGUGCCGGUCUAGGGGUACAUUUGCCGGUGAUGAAAAUGUGUUCAUUGGAUUCCUCGACUCAAACUAUCUUGUCUCACUGUCUACUUCAGAAUUUCACCGUCUACUACUUGAGUAAUUUAAGGUUUGCUAUUUUAAUCCCCAGAGCCCGCGCAUAGACUGACAUGUUAUAGGGGGCAAUUAAUUUUGUGCAAGAUAUGUUCAUUAUCAUUUUUGUUAAUUAGCUGCAUGAUAAUGAAGUUUUUAUUUACAAUUAUUUAUCAAAUUGUAAUCAUUAAUUAAUAAAUCAAUCAUCAGUACAAAAAAUAGCCAAAUCAUCAAUGAAUUUAUGAAUUAAUGAGAAUUAUGAUUUAUCUACUAAACAUAUGAAAAAUGUGUAAGUUUUCACUAUUUUAAACUGAAGUUUAUCAUCUUAGAUAAUAUGUUUGUCAAUUUCUAAGUGUUGUGGAAACCUAUAUUAAUUAGACUACAUCUUAUUUAAUGAGAUUGUUCUAAAAUGUCAGCUGUAAAUGUAUCUAUCUGUAUCCUGAUAUGACAACAUUAUUGUAAUUCUGUUACAAAACUUACAAUGUAAUUUUGAUAUUUGCAGUUAAAAUUUUGCACCAAUAUUCAUUUGUACAUUUGUGAAAGAAAAAUAAAUAAUUUCAGAACUUUUGAUCUGCUCAUUGUAAAGCAA